AAAACAUAAAAUAUUACUCUUCAAGUAGAGUGACAGUGAUGAUCUUUUCGGCCUUCCAGUUCUGGACUUCCAUCCCUGGUACGCACGGUUUUAUCCAUUGAUCAAUCUCACAGUCACUGUCGACCUCUUCACCCACCAUACAGACGUGAUCUGGAUCCAGCAUUCCAGCACUGGUGAAUGUGAACGACGGAUGACGUCCUCUACCUUGUCCAGACGAGCCUCGGCCCGGCUGAUAACCCAC
rnacentral:lncRNA from 1 species